CAGUCGCCGCGGGAAUACGAAGGGGGCUAGCGUUGCUCGGAAUGACUGGGCGUAAAGGGCGCGUAGGCGGCUGACACAGUCAGAUGUGAAAUUCCUGGGCUCAACCUGGGGACUGCAUUUGAGACGUGUUGGCUUGAGUGGAGAAGAGGGUCGUGGAAUUUCCAGUGUAGAGGUGAAAUUCGUAGAUAUUGGAAAGAACACCGGUGGCGAAGGCGGCGACCUGGUCUUUAACUGACGCUGAGGCGCGAAAGCGUGGGGAGCAAACAGGAUUAGAUACCCCGGUAGUCCCUGUCUCUUAUAC
rnacentral:rRNA from 1 species